rnacentral:rRNA from 1 species
GAUGCACGCUAGCGGCAGGCUUAACACAUGCAAGUCGAGGGGUAUUGGUUUUCGGACCAAGAGACCGGCGCACGGGUGCGUAACGCGUAUGCAAUCUACCUUUUGCAGAGGGAUAGCCCAGAGAAAUUUGGAUUAAUACCUCAUAGUAUAGUACUUUGGCAUCAAGGAACUAUUAAAGUCACAACGGCAAAAGAUGAGCAUGCGUCCCACUAGCUAGUUGGUAAGGUAACGGCUUACCAAGGCUACGAUGGGUAGGGGUCCUGAGAGGGAGAUCCCCCACACUGGUACUGAGACACGGACCAGACUCCUACGGGAGGCAGCAGUGAGGAAUAUUGGUCAAUGGGCGCAAGCCUGAACCAGCCAU